AUACUUUCAGCACAUGGAAGCCCACUCCUUGGGGGAACAACCCCCCAGUUUGAGAAGCAUGGCGCAAGAGUGGGAGGAUUUGAAUGAGAACAUUAGUCAUGAAAGGACUUUGCUCAUAAGACUGUUUCUGCACUUAAGCCUUUUUUCUUUUCCUGAGAAGAAAAUGAAAGCAGAAAAUCUUUUCCAAGGUUUCAAUCAGAGCCUGUUGAAGAAAGAUGAAAGCAGAAGACUAUCCUCCAGAUUGGAGGCUGUAAGAGAAAACCGAUGUGAGUAUGGAGAUGUACGCAUUGAGUUGGAACCCAAGUUUAUACAGACUGUGACUAUCAUCAGAAAUAUUAUGCCUAUGUUGGAUUUUUAA
rnacentral:lncRNA from 1 species